CCUGACUCCAUGAGAUGCCCAGUGACUUAAUAAAGGGCUGGGCUUUGCACAGGUGGCUGAGUCCCCUUCAUGAGCGUCACACCAAUCUCCAGAGGAGACAAAACCAGCAACAUACAGAAACACAAAUCUGAAAAGAAAUGAAGAACCAUCUUUGCCUUAGGAUGUGGCAAAUGGAGCUUUGGAACUGAUUCAUAUUCAAAAGAAGGAUCUCCUGCCCUAGCAACACAGCAAGACCUCAUUUCUACAAAAUAGAAAAAAAAUAGCCAGGUGUGGUGGUGAGUGCCUGUAGUCCCAGCUACUCGGGAGGCUGAGAUGGGAGGAUCGCUUGAGCCUACGAGAUCAAGGCUGCGGUGACCCAUGAUUAUGCCAUUACACUCCAGCCUGGGCAACAGUGUGAGACCUUGUCUCAAAAAAAGAGAAGGUGCUGUCUGCCUGUUGUGAAAGAGACCUUCCAUAGAUAGUUUAUCCAAUGAACACUGGUGCUCAUGCACAUGUGUGUGUAGUGGCGUCUCCAGGUUGGUUAACAGGGUCUCUGCCUCACGACCAGUCCAUUACUUAGUGAUGUGGUCACAUUUCUGUUGGUUCUUUCAGACACAGCCCCAGGGCCUCAUUCUGCCAGCCAAAGUCAGGCUCUGGUUUGCCGCCUCCAACAGUCCCACUCUGUGAGAUCCUGGUUAAUUUGGUUUGUACUUGGCAAAAAAAAAAAAAAAAAAAAAAAAAAAAAAACCUACAAAAAAGUGCCAAGAAUGUCUCCUUUAUUUAGGAAAUACAAUAUACUUUCUUAGUGAAAAUGAGUUCUCUUCUAGUUUGCUAUUCAGAAGGGACAUAAUGGUUUUGCAUACUCAUAGCUUCUCUUUCUAGUCUUUCUGGAAAUCUAAGAUGCUAAAUGUUCUUGGCCCUCAACUGAGUCCUUUCUAUCUUUAGGCACCAUUCAAUGUCCAUAGCUUUUUCAUCGGACAACUCUCAUUUUACAUCCUCUUAGUGUAUUACUAUAAUUUUUAAUUCUAUACAAAGGAUCUCACUCAUUUCUCAACUAUCCAUUGUCCCAACAAUUAUUUUUACUUGAAUAAAGAAUAUAACAUUUUCCUUUGAUCAAGCAUAUCAGAAUAUCAUGGUGUGUUUAAGUGUUAAGACACUGAGGACAGCACCACUCAGGAAAAAGUGAGGUGUCUAUGGAGCCAGCCUUGCAGAGUUAAUCUGCUCUUAACUAGUGGUGGCCAUAGACUAAAGUCUCCAUGCACAAGGCAAGCCAAGCUCUACUUCUGAAGUCUGAUACCUGAGCUCUCCAUAGCUAGAAGAUUCCAUGAAACAGAAACAAGCCACUGACUUGCCCAUAGUAGGUGGUUCUGUAUAAAUGAGAACAGGAACAGAAUUCAGGUGACAUGAUACCAGAAUUGAGAACUAGACAAGCAGGGAGGGUUGAUGCAUUAGUCCAUUCUCAUGCUACUAUAAAGAACUGACCAAGGCUGAGCAAUUUCUAAAGGAAAGAGGUUUAAUUGACUCACAGUUCUGCAUUGCUGGGGAGGCCUCAAGAAACUUAAAAUCAUUGCGGAAAGGGAAGCAAAACACGUCCUUCUUCACAUAAUGGCAGGAAGAAGUGCUGAGCAAAAGGGAAAAAGCCCCCUAUGAAACCAUCAGAUAUCCUGAGAACUCACUCACUAUCAUGAGAACAGCAUGGAGGUAACCACCCCAAUGAUUCAAUUACCUCCCACCAGGUCCCUCCUACUAUGAUUUAAGAUGAGAUUUGGGUGGGGACACAGCCAAACCAUAUCAGAUGUUAACCCAUCCAAGCACAGAGUACAGGAAAUACCACUCUGGAAUAUGGAAAUCAUUGAACUAAGCAGUGGAAGCUAGUACAUGGAAACAUGAGUUGUUUAGGCAACUCAGAUACAAUGUCAUGAGGAAAGCAAAGGCAGGGAGAGCUGUGGCUGGCACAGAAGACAUUGGGAAGACAGAAGGUUUCAUAGGAUUAGUUUGGCCCUGUUGAAAAGUUGUGGAGAUCCAGGGAGAGAUGGCUGGAGAAGGAAACUUAAACGUUGAAAAGAAAAAAGAAGAAAGCUAGACUAGAGUAAUGUAAGGCCCUAAAGGAUGAAAAGGGAGACUAAGAAGUGAUCACAAGUUUCUCGAUCAAGGAAAGGGCUGUCAGCCCAGGAUUUCCCAAUGUGCCUGGGAGCAAUGUCUUCCAAGAUAAAGAUUUCACCUGCAGAACUAGUCUUCAGUGUCCCAAAGGACCUAUUCUCAAAUAACUCAACAAUAUCACUUCCAUUCUGCCCUCUGUGUAUCUGCAGCUAAGAUUUCUCCACACUGUUUCCAUCCUCAGGUUUUUCCUACCAAUUCAACUUGCUAACAGAGUUAGCAAGUUGACUAAGAAUUAUCAGUUAUUUCUUAUGUCUCAUUUCUUCUUCCUAUCACCCCUGUUCAUUUUCACAGUAACAGGUUUUGUACUUUUAUCUGAGUCUUUUUUUAAAAAAAAAAUCCUCUCUCAAGCUUCUCUACUUUUAGUCUUCUAAAUCAAAUUAAUGAAUUGUCUGCUAUCCCAGGCCCUCUGACACCUGAUCCCUGAAUAGAAGUGUUGUUCUUGUAUCUUACACAAUGAUUCACUGCAGAGAUAUCUCUCUGAGCCUGGGAUUUCAUGACACUGAAAACACAGAACAAGCUUUAUCAAUGGCAGCCAUAUUUCAUCUACACAUGGAAGCUGUUCACCUACCUCAGGGGAAGGUUUCAGAAACAGAUGGUCUGCUUUGGAGACUAUAUACACUCAG
rnacentral:lncRNA from 1 species